GUGUUACUAAGCCUUGAACUCCAGGGACUGAAGCAUAUCAUUUUCAUGCAGUUCUGAAAGAGAAUCCAUCACAGGCAGAACUGGAUGCAACUUCCAUGGUUCCAAAAGAAACAGAACUACAGUCUGGACAAAGAAUCAUUUAAGUUGUGAAGGAAAACCAGCAAAAAAAAGAAUGUACAUCACUGCAAAGAGCUUCCAGAUCUCCCAACUAUGGACUGUUUCAAACAAGGCUGUGGAGACACAGAAGACUGACCUUCAACAUGUUUUUGUAUGAUUUCAACAAGGUUCUUGAUGCGCAGUGGAAGGUUCCAUGGAUCUUCUUGAAUGCUUGCUUGAAUAUUAUUCCGGCACCUAACUGUGGAUUCUUCCUUUUGUUUAAAUUCUAGAAAAAAUGAAGUUUGUUAGCUGUUAAGGAAAUGCUACAUAGCUGAGUGGCUUAUGAGUUAUAAUGUGUGCACAGGUGAAAGCAAAGAUACAGCAUCAAUGGCAACACCUGUCAAUGAAAAAGUUCCUUGAAUAGAUCUAAUACAGAAAAAAAAAAAAAAAAAGGCUAUUCCUAUAAUCUCAUGAUCAGCAGUCUCCUGGCAUUAUGUUCAGGGUUGUGGACUAAAAGUUAUGUACACAGGUAACCUACCAACGUAGGGAGCUCUUCAUGACUCAGAAAGCACAGAAUUCUCUUCUGCUUUCUCUGCCUUCAAUAAUGUGCAGGCAGUUG